GUUCUUUUGUUCUUACGAGGCAUUGGGCGGGUACUUUACAAGGUGCCAGCCUUUGCAUCCAGCUUCGGCAAACUUAUGUCCGAGUGGUGGCAAUGGCAGGGAGUAGCUCAUCGAAACCUGCUGUCACU
ncrna:unclassified sequences RT-10 RNA